AUGAAAAGUAAAGGGCAACGAAGUUUGCACAUCGAGGAACCGGAAAUUUUUGAAGAUGCAAAUAUGGAGGAGUGUUGGCGUCGUGCUAUGAAUGAAGAGUUGUGGUCGAUCCGAGACAACAAUACAUGGGAGCUCGCGGAUCUUCCCAACGGUCAGAAUGCCAUAGAGCUCAAGUGGGUGUACAAAGUCAAGAAAGAUGCCGAAAGAAACUUGAUGAAGCAUAAAGCAAGGCUUGUAGCUAAAGCAUGCGUGCAAGAGCAAUAUGUGGACUUCGAAGAAGUGUUCGCUCCAGUUGCAAGGAUGGACUCGGUGAGACUAUUUAUAGCUCUCGCGGCUCAAGAAUCUUGGAGGAUACAUCACUUGGAUGUGAACUCCGCGUUUUUGACCGGGGAAUUAGAAGAAGAAUUGUAUGUGAAGCAACCACCAGGGUACAUCCAAGAAGGAGAGGAACACAAGGUAUUGAAGCUACACAAGGCGUUGUACGGGCUACGACAAGCUCCUCAGGCAUGGAAUGUUGAGCUUGACCGUACAUUGAUUUCUCUUGGAUUUGAGAAAGCCCCACUAGAGCAUGCUAUGUACAAGCGAGGUGAUGGCAAUGAUCGUCUACUAGUGGGCAUCUAUGUGGAUGAUUUGCUGAUAACUGGAGCAGACGAAGAGGUGAUUGCAAACUUCAAACUACAAAUGAAGAAGCUAUUCAAGAUGACUGAUCUAGGGCUCUUGAGUUACUACCUCGGGAUCGAGGUACAGCAAAAGCCGGAGGGGAUCAUAAUAUGCCAGGAGGCAUAUGCAAAGAAGGUACUUGAAAGCUGUGGCAUGAAAGAUUGCAAUCCAAGUCAUGUUCUGAUGAAGCCUCGUCUCAGACUAAGCAAGAAGAGUGAAGCACCCGCGGUUGAUGCAACGGAGUAUAGAAGUGUGGUCCGAAAGUUGAGGUAUCUCACGAAUACAAGACCGGACUUGGCCUAUUCCGUUGGCAUAGUGAGUCGCUUCAUGGAAGCACCCACGACGGAGCAUUGGGCAGCGGUGGAAAAUAUACUCAGGUACAUCAAAGGGACAACAAAUUUCGGUUGUGUCUACUUGAGAAAGAAGAAGAAGGAGAUGGUGGAGCUACUUGGCUACAGUGAUAGCGACAUGGCAGGAGAUGUGGACGACCGUAAAAGUACCUCGGGCGUGGCAUAUUUUUUGGGAGGAAGCAUAGUGAGUUGGCUGUCACAAAAGCAGAAGGUGGUUGCAUUAUCAUCUCGUGAAGCGGAGUAUAUUGCAGCUGCAACCGCGGUGUGUCAAGGUGUGUGCCUUGGAAGGCUACUCGGUGACCUCACAGGUAAGGAACCAGAACGAGUGGUGCUCAACAUUGAUGACGAGUCUACAAUCUCUCUAUGGGAGAAUCAAAUGCAUCAUGGUAGAUGCAAGCACAUCGAUACGAGGUAUCGAUACCUAAGGGAGUGUGUGGAAGAAAGCAAGAUCGACAUCAUCUACAUUUGCACCGACGACCAGCUUGCAGAUAUCCUAACCAGGUCUUUGGGACGACGGAAGUUCAUGAAGAUGCGGCGAAGGAUCGGCGUCCAAGCUGUAAAGUGA
rnacentral:rRNA from 1 species